rnacentral:tRNA from 10 species
CCACGUUCCAAAAUUCUUUCCAGCUGAGUCCACCCCUCCCUGGAAGCCCACCCUAGCCCCUUCUAGAGGCCAAGGCCACCGCCUUAUGGAGCAUGAGCAUCCCUUGCUGCAGCCAACUAUGCUAGACUCCACAGAUGCUGACCACGGUGGGCUUCAUGUUGUAUUGGGCCUGCGUUAACCCAGCUCUCUCUCGAGACAGAGCGGGUGGGGGAGCUGCAGCAGAGGGCAGACACGCCAUCAGCACCCCCCCGCCAACAGCACCUUCCUGGUAUUUAUAAACACAGAGAUCACACGCACAAUCCCUCCAGUGCAAACCAGUCCGGCUGCUUUAGAAACAAGUUGUUUUCUGCUUCCAGAACCACCCAGGAGCCUGCGUGAUGUCUCUUCCCCCACCCGACCCCCUCUUCCCUCUGCCGGUCUCCUUGCUCCAGGUGUGGAGCAGAGAAAAGGCUAUACCCACUGAUGAACAGGGAUCCACACCUGGGGAAGAAGCAAGUAUGACUUUCUCUCCUGUGGCUUUACACAACCUCCUUGAAAUUCCAAGAGCAACCCUCCCAGCUAAAGUCUUCUCAGAUGUGACACGGCAGGAAGAGGGUACUUCCCUGCCACCAGUUUUUUGGUUUUUUGUUUUUUUAAAAGCCGGAUACAUUCCAGAGAUAAAGUGACCAGUGCUAUUAUUCAGAAAUAUCUUUAUGAGUCAGAACAGAAGUCACCCCUGGUAGGAAUGUUUGUCAGGUUGGGAGAAGAGAAACAGGACAACUUGCCCCGCUUCUUCUCUGGUUCUAGGAUCUGCACAAGCAGAGGCGGCACAGGGUUUGGCUUCCAGUUGGGAAAUGAAGCUCCAAGGGCAGCCCUACUAUGGCGGGCUGUGUGACCUGGGCCAAGCCCCUUGACAUCUCCAGACUCGGCUUCCACAUCUGCCACCACCAGGACACUGGAUUGAAUGUUGGGUACGUUGUAAGGCAAGGGAGACACAGAAGUCCUAAAGGCAAUAAAGCUUUUCCCCACUGCCCCUCCAUCUGGACGAGUCUCCUGCCAAGCAUCUUCAAGUCCCACUUUGAAACACGAUUCUGCCACCUUCCUGUUCUGAGGAUCUGGGAAAGCAAGGGGGAAGGGGCUAUUGGGAGUCCCGCUUGCUCCAGGCCCAGACCAGGAGGCUCAGGCAGGCUUAUCUACUUCUGAUGUGGUGGGGGGCCCAGGAUGCUGCCAGGGUCUCACAGCCAUGGUCUCACAGCCACUAUCAGCCUGUCCUCAAGGGUAUAAGAGAAGCUGGAAGCCUAGAUGGGCACUGCCCUCAGGCAACUUCCAAUCCAGCCAAGAAGAAUAAAGAGUAACACACAAAAUAUUGGGGGCAUGAGGCAAUAACUGUGGGUACACCUAUAAAAACCUCUAAUUGGGCUUACCUGGUACCAGACAGUAUUUUAAUUGGAUCAUAUAUAGUGCAUUAAUUCAGUUAAUAUUCACAACACCCCUAUGAGGUAGCUACAAUUAUUAUCCCCAUUCGAUGAUGGGGAAAACUGACAUCAGAAGAGGUCAACUUGCCCAAGUUUCCAGAGCUGAAAAGCAACAGAGCUGAGAUUUCACUGCAGGUAUUCUGGCCCCAGAGUCUUGGUACAAAUAGUGUUAAUGAACAAGUCUUCUUCUGGUAAGAGCACCCCAAUUUUCCUUUGGAGAACCUCCACUUCCUCAUUUCAUGUGCCAUGGGUGACCCUACCCUUGAGCUCUUGAGGUGAACACAUGGACACACGAUCCAGUCCUGACCAAACAGAAUAUCUCACUUCCCUGGCUACAGUUAGUGAUAGGUUCAGGAUUGUAGCAAUGACCCAAGACUGGCUUCUGAGAGUCACAUUUGAGACUGUGGCUCAAACUCUUAGAGAAGCACUCGUUUUUCAACUGAGACACUACAGUCUUUACUACUCCUUGAAGACGGACUACCAGGAAGAAAGCCAACCUAGAGGGCUGCAAAGCUGAGCAGUGGAGAACAGCAAGUUCCUGAUGACAUUGUUUGAUGGCCUAAACCCCAUUAUACUUCCACUGGUUAUCUCCCUGGACUUUCCUGUUACACAGAAAUUAUCCCUUUUGUGUUGAAGCCAAUUUGAAUUGGAUAUCUGUCACUUACAACCAAAAAGGUCCAAAUGUGCUAGUGAACACAGAGCACAUACUGUGAGCAACUACUCUUUUUCUUCUUUCUUUCUUUCUUUUUUCUGAGACAGAGUCUUUCUCUGUCACCCAGGCUGGAGUGCAGUGGUGCAAUCUCGGCUCACUGCAACCUCUGCCUCCUGGGUUCAAGUGAUUCUCCUGCCUCAGCCUCCCGAGUAGCUGGGAUUAUAGACACGUGCCACCACGCCCGGCUAAUUUUUGUAUUCUUAGUAGAGACGGGGUUUCACCAUGUUGGCCAGGCUGGUCUCGAACUCCUGACCUUGUGAUCUGCCCACCUCGGCCUCCUAAAGUGCUGGGAUUACAGGUGUGAGCCACCGCGCCCGGCCCGAGCACCUAAGCUUUUCAAGACAUUUCCAGAAAAACAAAUGCAGGUAAGAAAGGAUCAGUCUUCAAAGAACUUGGAAGCUGGUGAGGGAUUACAAAGAUUCUCAAAUAACUUUAAAACAAGUCAGAACACAAUUGACAGCACAAGGCAGCUACCCGGGUUCUCUGGUUAAUGCAAAGGGUGAGAAUUUUCUAUAUUGGAUGGAACACAUCAGAAAAGUUCUCACGAAGGUGGUAGCAGUGAAAUUGGCCUCAGAAGUCUGAUAGGAUGUUGGCAGGUGAAGGCAGGGAAGCUACAGGGCAGACAGCAUGAGGAAGGGCCCAGGUUCAGGGAAGUAUGGGCAUGCAGGGGCAAGUGUAAAUUGAUGGGAUUGCCUGGGACCAGAGGAAAGGUCUAAAACGUACAGUCUGAGGCUGGGGCGGGGUGGGGAAAGGAUGGUUCUGAGGUAUCUGAAGUAUCUCCAAAUAUCUGAAGAUAUUCCCCAUGGAAAAGAAACUAGGCUUAUUUGGAGUGACCCCAGAGGACAAGACUACGACUAAAAAUGGACGCUCGCAAAUGGAGGAAGUAGACCUGACCCCUGACUAAGGAAGAUGGUGCUACCUGUUUGGGGCAAAUGUUCAAAAAGAGGCUGUGUCUGUAUGGUGGAUGCUGUUAAAAGGGACUCAGAAACCAAAUGAGAGUCUGAAUUAGCUGAGUUUAACAUUCUGUGAGUUUUGUGCCAGACUUGGGACUACUGCAGAAGACCCUGGGAGAGUUGGGAUUGAAUUCCAAAGGCAGUGCUGAUGGACACUGACUUGAGGAGCCAGGAAAGAAGGCAGGAACAGUGGUGGGGAUCACAGCCUCACCUGUAUCUGUGCACUUCUAUAAAUUCACAGACUGGGAAUUUUUAAUGUGAACUGGAUAUUAGAUGAUGACCAGGAAUUGUUUUAAUUCUGUUAGGUGGGAUAAUACCAUUCACUGUGCUGUGUAAGAUAAUGUCCAUAUUGUUUAGAGAUGCAUACUGAAGAAUAUAGGAUGAAAUGACAUAAUGUUUGGAUUUUUUAUUUUAAAUAUUUCAGCAAAAUGUGGGGACAAAUUUUAUAUACAUUAUUUUUUCACACAUAUGUGGUAUUCAUAUAUACACAAAUGUAUAUAUUACACACAUGUAUAUGUACAUACAUAUAUGGGUGUAUAUCUAUGUGGGUAUGUGUAUAUGCUACAUGCAUGUGCAUAGCUGGUUAGCAAAUAGAAUAGUUAACAAAAUAAGCCAGACACAAGAUAAUACAUAUUGUUCCAUUAUAUACUUUUUUUUUUUUUUUUGAGACGGAGUCUAGCUCUGUCACCCAGCUGGAGUGCAGUGGCACAAUCUUGGCUCACUGCAACCUCCACCUCCCGGAUUCACAAGCGAUUCUCCUGCCUCAGCCUCCCAAGUAGCUGGGAUUACAGGCCCCUGCCACCAUGCCUGGCUAAUUUUUGUAUUUUUAGUACAGACAGAGUUUCACUGUGUUGGCCAGGCUGGUCUCAAACUCCUGACCUCGUGAUCCGCCCGCCUCGGCCUCCCAAAGUGCUGGAAUUACAAGCAUGAGCCACGUGCCUGGCCUAUAUACAUUUUUUUAAGGCAAAUGAAUCUAUGAUGGUAGAAGUCAGGGCAUGGUUGGCCUUGUAGGGUCAGGGGAAGGCAGAGACGAGAGGGGUCCAAGGGCCUCUGGUGCUGGCUGAGUGCUGUUUCUAGGCUGAGUAAUGUGUGCACAGGCCUGCUGGCUCUGUGCAAACUCAUUGAGCUGUGCACAUGAUUUGUGUACCUUAUGUAUGUUUUAGACUUCAAUAAAUUCACUCCAAAAUACCACCCCCUACACACAAACACACAGACACAGACACACAGACACACACACACACAGACACACACACACACACACACACACACACACACACACACACACACACGGGGAGAGAUCUGAAGUAAGUAGGAUUCCUCCAUUGAUCAUUUCUUGAGAAGCGGGGAGAAGACAUGCUCUGGGCUAUGCUUUAAGCAAGAGUUUUCCAAACAAAUUUGCUACUUUCCAGAGUGAGAUGUUUUUUUCCCAUGACCCAUGGGGCAUAUGUCAUGGGCUGCAGCCUGAAGUUGAAAAGUCUGGUUUUAAGCUGAUCUCUCUGGUGGCAGGGUAAAGAAUGGAAGGCAACAGGAAGAGCCCAGAGAGGAGGCUGGCAGCUUGUGUCUUCUGCCAUGGUUCAGGAGAGAGGUAGGGAGACUCUGUAGCAGGGCCAGGUGACAGGAAGGCAAGUGUGCUUCAGAGAAAGAGUCCAGCUUCAUUGUGUGGGCAGGCCCUGCCACUCCAGCUGCCUGGGGUAUGCUCAGAGGGACAGGGGAGGCCUGCACAGACUCAGCCAGACACCCCAAGGACAACACACGCAGAGUGCAACCAGGUGCU